AAAAUGUAAUUAAUACAAAGAACUGUGUGUUAAAUUUUGAAAACCAAUGUUAUUGAAUAACUUAAUUUAUGUAUAUAUUUUAUUUGUUAAAAAAAAAACUAGUCUUCAAUUAUGUAUCAGUUUCGUAAAAAGUAUUUUAUAAUGACUACAACACAAAUUGUUAAAAUAAAUCUAUUGGUCUAUAGUAUGGUGUACUAAAAUAUAUUAGGCUGGUGUUAA